AUGUGGGCGUGGCGAUCGUUCCUCGGUCAGCCUCGGCACCUCCUUCUCUCCCCGCUCCGCCCUUUCCGCCACGGUGCGAGCCAGCUGACCGCCGCUCUCGGCCGGGACAACCUGAUCGGCUCACGAGGAUACGCCUCCAAUUCCAACUCCAAUGGCGAUCCGCACGCCGAGGCAAACCACCAGCAUCGGGCGGCAGCGGCGGUGGCGAAGCGGCAUCUAUACGUGGUGCUGGACGACCACAAGGAUGGACACGGCAUCCACAAGCUGGACCUCGCCGCCGACGACGAUCUGGACGGCGGCACCGGGCGCCUACCGGAGCCACCGGUCCUCCGCGUGGCGCUUCCUACUGUCCGCGACGAUGCGCAGUUCGCCGCAGUUGGCAGCAGCAUUGUCGCCAUAUCUACCAGCAUCACCACAGACGUGGAAUGGCAAGAGGUCGUCGGCGGCGGCGUCCUAAUUUACGACACCAAGACAGCGGCGCAGGUCGUCUCGCCUAACCUCCCGAAAAGCCUCCUCGACGCCUUCGGCUACCGGGCAGCCAUUACAGUCGGCGACAGGCUCUACUUGCUCGAGUCAUGUGGGUUUGAGAGAUACUACAAGUACGUUGGCCACGGCAAAACAAUUUUUGCAUCGGGCUUGCACUGCCUCACCGCCCAUGCAGCCGGAGGAGACGAGGACAAGCUCUGGAAUUGGCAGCCGGUGUCGGCUUCGUCGCAGUGGCGUUGGAGUUGCACUGAGAAUCUUCUGAUGCUCCCCUUCGACGCCGAUAACAUCUUGGCGCAUGCGGUGCGCGCCCCGCUAGGAGCGGCCCCGCACGACCAUGAGAUCUUGGUUUCCGCUUGGCGCUGGGACCGGGACGUGAACAAGGUGACUCCCAAGACCUGCUCUUUCAGCACGACAAGUCACAAGUGGACGUGCCUUGGCGACUGGCGGAUGCCCGUAGUCGGCCACGCCCACUACGACCAUGGUCUAGACGCAUGGGUCGGUCUCGACGCCGUCGAUGAUGGCUACCUCUGCGCCGGCAAUGUCUUGAGUGCUCCCUCAGAGUGGAAGGACGGCAGGGACAAGCUGUUCUGUCUCGAGGAGGACGCCGCGGCUGGCUGGAGCCACAUCGACACCAAGCUCGUGCCUGUGCCAUCUCCCAAAGGCGGCGACAGCGAGUACUGUCUCAUGGAGCGCCUGAGGCCCAAGGGGAAUGGCGACCGAUACAAGUGCUUGGCUGACGGCGAAAACUCUCUUCUCCGGCUGACCUCCUUGUGUGUGGAGCGUGGCGAGGAAGGUGAGCCCGUGGUCACGGCUCGCCGGCGUGCUCGCUCUUACAACGUAUCUAGGUAUAAUGAAUAUUUUGAAGCUCAAGCAUUUUGGAUGUAG
rnacentral:rRNA from 1 species